ensembl:lncRNA
CUCCCUGCAAUUAUACUAAGAGGUGGGGACCUUCAGAGGUGAUUAACUCAUUAGAUGUCUUCCCUCAUGAGUGAGAUUAGUGUUUCUCUAAAAGAGGUUUGAAGGAACUUAUUUUGCCUUUUUACUAUGCAAGAUCAUAUAGAAGGGGCAAUCUAUGAGGAACAGGGGCGCACCAGACACCAAAUCUGGCACCUUGAUCUUGGAAUUCUCAGCCCCCAGCACUUCACUGUAACUUUAUUUUAGAGUCCUGCACUGCCCUGCCUAGGCUCUCCAGGGCCAUGGUGAGGAAAGCUCUUAAAAGGGCAGUUCCAGGUAGUCCUUUGGGAGUUUCCCAAAAAGAAGGGGCAGAAGAAACUAGAAACCGUAAAAACCUAAAUGAGCGACACAAGAUACUAAGUCUCCAUUAGCUAGCAAGAAGAUACACUUCAAUUUGCCUGGAACAGCCUUGUUUUAUUCCUAUAGAACAAUCCCUUCAUGGAGGAAGGUCCCCGAAGUCUCUGCCCUGGUCCAAAGAAUACCCAGAAAGGUUUUCCUUUCUCUGGAGAGAUCCAGGCAUGGACAUUGAGAAUGCUGAUUAGGACUUGCUCCCUCCCCUCCACAACAGCAGUCAGUUCUUUAUUGAGUGAAAUGGAAAGGUGGCACUGUCUUCUUCAUCCUUGGAGCCUAAAAGAAGGAGAUGAGAUGAACAGGGAGAAAGCACAAAGACAGGCCCUCCAGCAUGGCUUCCUUUAGUGGUCAGUGCUAACCCACCAUGGAUCAGGACUUCCAGCACCUGGAGUCAAGAAACCUGGAAAACAACAACUUAGGGAAGACAAAGAGAAGAGCUCCGGGAAUUAAAAAAGAGCAGACAGAAAAGCUAGAAAUCACAGAGAAGUUGGAGAAACUGAAGAUAACACAGAGAAAAGAUUAAAGUAGUCUGAAACAUCCGUCCCACCUCCUGGGGGUGUGGGGCUGUCUUUAUAAACAGAAGGUAAGCCCAGGAAGAGUUGGCAGCCCCAGCAAUAAAUAACAGACUGGCAGUGUUAGCCCCCAGAGAAGCCCACAGUAAGCUGCAAAUACAGGGUGGGUCUUACUCUGAAAGUGGCUCCUUCCACAUGGCACUCUAGAGUUGGAAAAGAAAUACAGUACAACACCCACUAUAUUUGGGAAAAUGUGGUAUAUAUACACAAUGGAGUACUACUCAGCCACAAAGAAAAAUAAAUGCCAAUCACUUGUAGAAAAAUGCAUGUACCUUGAGACCAUAGCGCUAAGUGAAAUAAAUUAGACACCAAAGGUUAAAUGGCAUAUGUUUUUUAUAUGAGAAAUCCAAAGUAUAAAUAAUUGAAAUAUCAAAAUAAAAGGUAGAUGAUAGUAAACAGAGAGAUAGACUUUGUG